rnacentral:misc_RNA from 1 species
CUUUGUUGGAUCCUCCUUUUCCUCUUUUUUUAAUGUGUAUAAAAAUUAAAAAAAAUGAGGAGUUGAUUCAAGUGUUUGAAUUUGAUCAUCCACGGACCUUCAAAGAUGAUUUUUAUAAUUUACAGUUCAGUAUCGUUUUAAGUUAGAUAAAUUAAUUUAAUUAAAUUAAUUUAUCUAACUUAAAACGAUACUGAACUGUAAAUUAUAAAAAUCAUCUUUGAAGGUCCGUGGAUGAUCAAAUUCAAACACUUGAAUCAACUCCUCAUUUUUUUUAAUUUUUAUACACAUUAAAAAAAGAGGAAAAGGAGGAUCCAACAAAG